rnacentral:rRNA from 1 species
AGAGUUUGAUCCUGGCUCAGAAUCAACGCUGGCGGCGUGCCUCAGACAUGCAAGUCGAACGAGAACCUCCCUUCGGGGAGGGGACAGUGGCGCACGGGUGAGUAACACGUGGGUAAUUUACCUUUGGGUGGGGAACAACAGCCGGAAACGGCUGCUAAUACCGCAUAAUGCAGCGGCUCGACAUCGAGACAGUUGUUAAAGCGGGGGAUCUUCGGACCUCGCGCCUAAAGAGAAGCCCGCGGCAGAUUAGCUAGUUGGUAGGGUAAUGGCCUACCAAGGCAACGAUCUGUAACCGGCCUGAGAGGGCGGUCGGUCACACUGACACUGACAUACGGGUCAGACUCCUACGGGAGGCAGCAGUCGGGAAUUUUGGGCAAUGGGCGAAAGCCUGACCCAGCAACGCCGCGUGAAGGAUGAAGCUUUUCGGAGUGUAAACUUCACAAGAAUGGGAAGAAUAAGUGUGGGAUAAUACCCCGCACGAUGACGGUACCAUUUGUAAGCUCCGGCUAACUCCGUGCCAGCAGCCGCGGUAAUACGGGGGGAGCAAGCGUUGUUCGGAUUUACUGGGCGUAAAGGGCGCGUAGGCGGCGCGACAAGUCACUUGUGAAAUCUCUGAGCUCAACUCAGAACGGUCAAGUGAUACUGUCGUGCUAGAGUGCGGAAGGGGCAACUGGAAUUCUUGGUGUAGCGGUGAAAUGCGUAGAUAUCAAGAGGAACACCUGCGGCGAAGGCGGGUUGCUGGGCCGACACUGACGCUGAGGCGCGAAAGCUAGGGGAGCGAACGGGAUUAGAUACCCCAGUAGUCC